rnacentral:rRNA from 1 species
GUCGACUCCUACGGGGAGGCAGCAGUGGGGAAUAUUGCACAAUGGGGGAAACCCUGAUGCAGCCAUGCCGCGUGUGUGAAGAAGGCCUUCGGGUUGUAAAGCACUUUCAGUAGGGAGGAAGGUAGUGCAGUUAACACCUGCAUUAUUUGACGUUACCUACAGAAGAAGCACCGGCUAACUCCGUGCCAGCAGCCGCGGUAAUACGGAGGGUGCGAGCGUUAAUCGGAAUUACUGGGCGUAAAGCGCAUGCAGGCGGCCUGUUAAGUCAGAUGUGAAAGCCCGGGGCUUAACCUCGGAAUUGCAUUUGAAACUGGCAGGCUAGAGUCUUGUAGAGGGGGGUAGGAAUUUCAGGUGUAGCGGUGAAAUGCGUAGAGAUCUGAAGGAAUACCAGUGGCGAAGGCGGCCCCCUGGACAAAGACUGACGCUCAGAUGCGAAAGCGUGGGGAGCAAACAGGAUUAGAUACCCUGGUAG